ensembl:snRNA U4 U4 spliceosomal RNA
AUUCUUUCGCAGAGGCAAUAUCGUAGCCUAUGAGGUUUAUCCGAGGCGUGAUCAUUGCUGGUUGAAAACUUUACCCAAUAUCCCGCCAGGAUGACUUGAAAUACAGUCAGCCAUCUAGAAUUUCCCCUCUGGGA